UGAGGUAUAGCUCAGCGGUAGAGCGCCUGCUUAACAUGUAAAGGGCCCUGGGUUUAAUGCCCAGUACCACAC
rnacentral:tRNA from 1 species